UACGUAGGGUGCGAGCGUUGUCCGGAAUUACUGGGCGUAAAGAGCUCGUAGGUGGUUUGUCGCGUUGUCCGUGAAAACUCACAGCUUAACUGUGGGCGUGCGGGCGAUACGGGCAGACUGGAGUACUGCAGGGGAGACUGGAAUUCCUGGUGUAGCGGUGGAAUGCGCAGAUAUCAGGAGGAACACCGGUGGCGAAGGCGGGUCUCUGGGCAGUAACUGACGCUGGAGGAGCGAAAAGCGUGGGGAGCGAACAGG
rnacentral:rRNA from 1 species